GUGUACAUGAUGUAAAACACUGGUCUGAUGUGUGAUGUCAUCAAAGGAACCACUGACACAC
ensembl:snoRNA SNORD42 Small nucleolar RNA SNORD42